AUUCUGCCAUUUUUUUAAAAUUUUGUUUAGUCUAUCUCCAUAGUGAUAUUAAUGGAGGAUCCACAAGGAAACGUCUCUAAUUGUAUGAAAGAUGAGGAUACAGUUCCAAAGGGAACAGCUUAUUAGCUAAAAGGACUCAAGAUUAGCAACUUCUCCUGGAGAUUCUAUAUUUCAACAAUCCUGACGAGCAGAUUACCAGUUCCAUAAUUUAUAAUCCUGGAGGCUAUCAUUAAACCUUUAUUUUGGUGGCGUUUCCUAGUUAGAGAUCAAUAUUGUUUAUAGCAUCUUCAUGUACGGCAAAUGAUGGCCUGUCAGGAAGCAAAGUAUCUGGCGUACAUGUAAUCAAUUCAUUGUUCUGCCUCGGUACAUCUUUAAGUUUCAGCUUUGCCUCUCGCCUCUUGACUUACUUUCAAUUAGGAUUUACCAUGCCACAAAAACCCAUCAUAUGCAAGUUCAUGUUCAGGACUCUUAACUUCCUAAACAAAGGCCAAACAGAAAGAAGUAUUGCUGCUUAUCAGAGUUUACAACAGAGUGUUGAACUUUAAUGCAUGCCAAGUAUUGUGCCAAGAAGCCCAGGCAAAGAUGACACUGUGAUUUUCUACUUAUAUGUAUGGAAAAAGUGAAAUCCCGCAAAGAGAAAAUCCAAAAAUCUGAAAUCCGUUCUUUUAUUGUAACUCUGCAUCUAUAUGUGCUCCAGUCAUUUAUUUAUUGAUUGACAGGGCAUAAUACAGAGGGGAAGGAAACCGAAGCCUACUUAUUUAGCCACCAGUAACUAUAUGAUGAUGUUAAGCAUUAUCACUCUGAUCUUGACAGAAGAAACUGCCUUGUAACUCUGCGUUAGCUAAGCUACUUCCCUGUGAAUUUCCAAAGGCCAUCACCAGUGAUUGUUUAAUGAAAGGCAUUGCCAAGUUUCUUUGAUCAAAA